rnacentral:lncRNA from 1 species
CCCUUGAAGGUCCUUGCACUCCCAGCGCCAGGGGCCCCGCGUACUCACGCUGUCUCCGGCGACAAGAUGAUGAGAUGCGCUCGCGCCCGCACCCUGCAUGCAAAUGCUGUCUCCAACGACAAGAUGGUGAGCCGCGCUCGCACCCCCACCCUUCAUGCAAACCCUGUCUCCGAUGACAAGAUGGUGAGCCGCACUCGCUUCCCCCUCUCCUACUAGUGAUUUGAAGUUAACCGGUGCCUAAUGAUUUGAAGUUACUGACAAUCUUUGAUCUAGUCAUGUGAGUUAGUACUAGUGCUUACUGAAUUACCUGAUGUGUAUGUGCAAGAACUACGUGGUGUGUAUAUGCCCUUGGACUUUCUAAUCGCUGGGUUCUCUUGUGGUAGAUGGACGGGAAAAAUGAGAUGGCGCCGGUCCAGGGGGUGCCGCCCAUGCGGGGAAGCAUCGCGGCUUCAAGCUCGGUUGGUAAGUACUCCAUACUGGUUUUUCUGUCAGUAUCACGGCUGUUUUUUGUCAUCAUUAGUAUAAUGAUAUUGGACUGAAGCUCAUCAACUCUUUCGAUGCUGUAUUUUUGGCAUCAUUAGUAUAAUGAUAUUGGACUAAAGUUGGUUAGCUCUUUCCAUGCUGGACUUUUGGCAUCAUUAGUAUAUUGAUAUUGGACUGAUGCUUGUUAGCUCUGUCCAUGCUCGGUUUUUUAUCAUCAUUAGUAUAGUGAUAUAUUGGACUGAAGCUGCACAUGUUUUGUUUCCAUUAACGUUGGUCUAGCAGUGCUACGCGUCAGUCGGCCGAUCGUAGCCGCCAUAGAAGCCUUAUUUUAAUCAAGUUCCACCCGUCACUGCAUAUAUUAACGUUGGUUUUGGCACUAGCUGCGUAUACAAACGCGAGCACCGGCACUGUGUGGCAGCAUGGAAGACAUAUGAACUGUGAUAAGAAACAUAAGAAACAUGCAAUGGCUAGAAACAUCUCCGUACAAAAAAAAUUGGCAUGUUAUUGGUGUCAACAAAAUUAGUCGGCUUGCCAGCCAUCGGAUCUGACACGUGAAGCAUUGGAUCACACCACGCGGCAGCAGAGAGAGUGGAACCCGUCUUCCUCCAUAGCCUCCACAAAACUUCUUUAUCCCCCACCCCUCCCCCAUCGUUGUAAAAGACUAUUAUGUUGUUGCCGCGGCCUUCCUCUUCCUCUCGCUCAGCAGCACCUCCCUCUCGUCCUUUCUAACACAGCAAAGAAGAAGGAGGAGGAAGAAGAAGGACGCAAGGACACAAGUGGUUUUGCCGGAGCACGAACUCCGCCCGCCGCACGAACGGCGUCCUUUUCUUUCCCUGAGCCCGAACUCAGUACAAUCCGCGAGCUACAACAAAGGAGAGAGCUGGCCUUAUACCCGCGCGCACGCACGCGCUACGCCACGCUCUGCACGCAUGCACACCCCACGUCCCGCGCUUCCAGACCCACUCACCCGACGCGCACGUAAACAGUCGCGGUAGGCCGAUUCCAGCGCCCCGACGUGGUCGCCACUCCGUUUCUGUCGCCUACACACAACGGCCCACGCGCUCGAACGCGAGGACACACACGCACGCACAGACACACACACACACGCACGGCCACGGACCCGGCGCGUCCUGGCUCGCACCCGACGCGUCCUGCGGUGGCUUAUGCCCAACACUCACUCCCCUAAGCCACGAACUACAGCAGGUGAGUCCAUCGUCGUCGAUGUCGCCAUGGCCGUCGCACCACACCGCUGCGGCCUCCGCCGUGCCGUCGACGUCGUUGUAGCCGCUGCCGCCCUAACGUCGCUGCCACGCCUGCCACCGUGCCGCUGUGCCCUUCGCGUGCACUCCCCACGUCCCCGCGCUCCCGGCCCGCACUCCCGCCGCGCACGUACGCGGUCUGCGCAACCAGGUCCAGCGCCUCGACGCGGUCCACUCCCGCGGUCCCGACGCGCCCGACGCGUCCGGUGCGCACCCAUAACACGCACCGGUCACGCCCGGCUCGCCGCCGCGCUUAUUGCCCUGCACCGCUGCGCCGUCAACCACAGCGCAGCGCCUCCACGGUCGUCGCGCCGAGCCGCCGCGGCCUCUGCGACACCACGCAGGUCCUCCGCGACCUCCUCGUCUCCGCGACCGCCGCUGCUCGCCGCGCGCACGGCAUCACGCCACACCGCCGUGGACUCGCCACGCGUUGCCGACGCCACGCGCUCGUCGCGCGCCCGGCAUCACGCCACACCGCCGUGGACUCGCCGCGCGUUGCCGAGACCUUCAUGUCCGCCGCGCACCGCACGCGCCGCGAACGCCACCGCGCGCCACGGCCGCCCCCCGAACCUGUGGCUCUGAAUACCAAUUGUUGUUGCCGCGGCCUUCCUCUUCCUCUCGCUCAGCAGCACCUCCCUCUCGUCCUUUCUAACACAGGAAAGAAGAAGAAGGAGGAAGAAGAAGGACGCAAGGACACAAGUGGUUUUGCCGGAGCACGAACUCCGCCCGCCGCACGAACGGCGUCGUUUUCUUUCCCUGAGCCCGAACUCAGUACAAUCCGCAAGCUACAACAGAGGAGAGAGCUGGCCUUAUACCCGCGCGCACGCACGCGCUACGCCACGCUCUGCACGCAUGCACACCCCACGUCCCGCGCUUCCAGACCCACUCACCCGACGCGCAUGUACGCAGUCGCCGUAGGCCGAUUCCAGCGCCCCGACGUGGUCGCCACUCCGUUUCUGUCGCCUACACACAACGGCCCACGCGCUCGAACGCGAGGACAGACACACACGCACAGACACACACACAUGCACGGCCACGGACCCGGCGCGUCCUGGCUCGCACCCGAUGCGUCCUGCGGUGGCUUAUGCCCAACAAUUACGUCAGCCCCUCGUAGCACCUCACGUCCAUGCUCUGGCGCAUCCCUGAUGUCGCCUGGUAUCAUGCAAGCACUAUUACAGACGGCGUGCUGGCGAGGAACAUUGUCUUACAACCAAGGUAGUUGCAUUGAUGCGACCACAAGCCUCACCCCCUUGUUGCAUGGGUCGUGGCUUGUGGCACUGGUCGUCGGCUAAAACACCCCCCGUGAGAACCUGCAGUUGCACCACUGCGACAACCUCGUGGGUCUAUGCAUGGUGGAAAUAGAGCGAAUGGAUAUGGUGAAGAGAGAGGAAUACAAGUGAGGGGCAUCUGGCGCUAGAGAGAGCUGACUCAUUUCCUCCUAAACCAGUCUGUUGAAUAUUUCCAUUUUCUUUUGAGAAACCUCAUAAAAACGUUGCAACAUGCGAGCAUGUCUAUACAAAAAAAACUAGAUAUAGAACACAUGCUCAUUAACUGCAAGAAAUCAGUGAAAAACCACAAUGUAUACACGCCUGAACCAAUGGAUCAUUGGCAUGCAUCUUCCAACUCUUCCUAGGUUACGCCCACCCGCGAACCGUUCAAUUCUGUCACAAAUCAUUGCCAAAUCAACCACCAACUUGGUUCCUGCUCUCGUCUCCUCUCCCCAUCCUUUGCAACAUACACCCAUGUUUCUCAGCAAUAGACUCACUUGGAGGCCACAAUGGUGGCCAUGGUAGGCUAGUGAAAAGCACAAUGGUGGUCGGCCUUACAACACUAAACACGACAUUAAUUGCAACACGUGAUAACCCCAAAUUUGUAGCACCGGUGCACCGUUUUGCGGCAAAGUAAAAAAUGCCAAUGACCUGCCAUGCUGCAUCGAUGCCUUGGUCUUGCAGCAUUGUCAACCACCUUGUAGCAAUGAAAAGUUCACUGACCACUAGCUUUGCAGCAUCACGUGACCGGCUUCUAGCACUGAAUGCCCGGGCUAGCAGCACUGCGAUGAGUGAUGGUCGGCCUUGCAACAGUAUUGGUUGACAUUGCACACCUCAUCUCCAUUUUUAUGUACAUACACAUGAGUGAACUUGGAACAUCAGUAACGUAUCAACAUUAGCAAUAUUGAUGAUGAUGAAAUUUGUUUCCCCAAGUAUCAACAUUACUGAAUAAGUGAGCAACUGCACAUCCACCCCAUGAGCCAUACUUUUUGAGCCCUACCACAACCGAUUAUAGUUGGAAAAGAGCUGACAACGAUAGUUAAAAAUGUACAUGAUCACAAUAGAUUAAAUGGCAGGGAGGGUGGACUGCAUGUGUGGAAUCAGGCUUGUCGCGUGGUCACAAGUGCCUUAUCUGACUAGCCAACAAGACAGAAGGAGGCCGCCUGGACUCUCACUCCUGAAGCUAAGCAUAACUCCAACUGCAGACACACUCGGGGGCUACUUAAGGUGCAAUACACUAGGGGUGUCCUCUAAGUGGGAAGCCCGGUAGCAGGCCUAUCUCAAGGCCCAAGAGGCCAAGUGGAGGAUCAGCGCACGAGGGCAGCUCAUGAGCCCGGAUAAGGAUCGGGAGAGCAUCUGGGCGUGCAAGCUAACAUGGCGACGGUAUGAGAUCUAGUGGAUUCCUUGUAAUCCCUAGCCCUCGUCACCUAUAUAAGGCAGGGCAAGGGGUUAUCAUUCACAUAUACUCUCAUAGACUAUACUCUUGGUGGCCUUAUACUUCAUCUCCGUUGUAAAUCCUAUUAUGGGUACUAACAGUUUUACAUACUGUCGCAUAGUUUUGUUCCGACACAUUUUCUCUAGGAGUUGAAAGCAACUCAUGGUGUAAGUAUAUGUUGCUGGAAGCACUGAUUUUACUAGCACCGCCUUUCCCGCCUUCGAGAUACCUUGUCCUUCCUAUCCAAUCACUUUGCCAUUUGAGUUUUCUCUAACGUAUUUAAAAUUUGCUUCCGUUGACCUACCCACCACGGCUGCGAGCCCCAAAUAAUGCUCGCUCAAUGCCUUGGGAUCAAUGCAAAAAUAUUUUAAAAAAACUUUGUCCUCCUAUUUGCUUCCCUUUCCACAAAAAGUUGAGGCUUUUUGAAGAUUUACCAUUUGUCAUGUGGCCAACUCGUAGUCAAACAGGGUCUAUUUUAAGGUCACAACGUUGAUAUUUGAUGCUUGAAGAAAUACUACACUAUCAUCUGCAAACAUAAAAUGGGCUACAUGGGGGCCAGUGCUCCCAAAAUGUACAUCAUUGAUCUCCUUAUCUUUGAGAAUUCAUGAGCAAUGCCAAAAAAUAAACAAAUGGGGGGGAUUGUGGGUCUCCUUGUCAGAUCCCUCUUGAUAGUGUAAAAAUGACAGAGCAACCUCCAUUCAAUUUGACAGGAAUCCUGGUCGAGGUAACAGAUGUCAUAGUCAUCAAGAUCCACCUAUUUGAGAAACCAAGUGCCCUCAUCAUGAGAUUGUGGAAAAUCCAAACCACCCUCUUGUAGGCCUGCAUCAUGUCUAGUUUAAUAGCUAACAUUGGAUUUUUCUAUUUGUUGACCUGAUUGCAUGCACACACUCAUACGUGAUCAACACAUUGUCUGUGAUAAGCCUACCCGGAAUAAAUAUACUUUGCUCCUCCCAGAUCAUUAUGGACAGGAGAACAUUCAAACCAUUCACUAGGCCUUUGAAGCAAUAUGACUGAGUGUGUUCUAUAAGCUGAUUGAUCCAAUUUGAGGAAGUAUAUCCAGUGAGUUAAUUUUUAGGAUCAGGACUAGAACCAUAUCACUGAAGUUUGCCGAUACAUCAUUUUUUAGCAACGACUAGUGAAAUUGGUAAACAUAGUCGAGAGGUUGUGUGGCCCAACGCUUUUGUCGGUCUAAUUUAGAAUGGUGCAUUCUCAAUUUAUUAUCAGGAUCUAGUCUCUUGAAACCUCCCUUAGCUACACAAAUUUGCUUCAAUCUCUCUUCCUAUCCAGUAGCUUUAGCUGAUAAUCCUUGUGAUGCCUUUGGUGAUCACCACCACCCUUCCUCGUCUUGUGAACAAAAGUGCCUCGUGUGUGCUGCCUGGAGGUAGAUGGGUCUUCUUUGCCCAGUCGCCUUGCACCCUUUCUUCCCACAUAGAAUUUUUUAUGUCCUCCUUCCUUUCAUGAUCCUUCCUCAGCUUCCACAUCCUUUUCAGUUGCAAAUCAUCCCUUAGUUCAUGUCACCGAUCUUGCUUGCAUUAGUCCUUCCUGGGUGUAUAAGCAUUGUAGCACUUGUGCCUAAAUGGGAGGUGGCGCAACGCUGCUUACCCCCUGUGAACAUAGAUGCACCUUCUUGACCUAGUGCUCCCAAAAUUAAAGUUCCCACUUUCUAUCACCAACUUCUACUAUGUUUCUGUGUGUGAGGAGCUAUGUUCGAGUGGUGCCCUCAACCAUUCACCCAACUAGGGUGAGGAAUCAACAUGUGGUUCAAAUCUUUCAUCAGCAUGUGCCGGUCUAACGCAGUCAAUCCAGAAGUGAUGUAUCUUCUCAAAUUGAAAAUCAAGACAGUCCCCUCAUAUUUCGCUGAAGAGUGGAGGAAGAAGCCUCGAACCAAUGAAACGAAUAUGAAAAUUCUAGCUCUAACUAUGAGAUGGUUCCCCCCAUAAAUCCAUCCUUCUCGAUAUCAAAUUUUACCACGUCACCAAGCCAAUUCCCGAGAGCAUUCCCAAAAGUAGACAAUGGUUUAUAUAGGGGAAGAUCCUUAAUUAUCACCCAUGGCUCCGUCAUCCAAAACAUUAUCUUCGACGGCCUAGUUUUACCAUCACAAUUCUUCAAAACCAUCACACUAAAACCAAAUUUCCACGGUCCAUUAUAUAGAGUGUGAUUCUAAACUCCGUUUUGUCGAAUCUCAAGACGAAGAUAUUAUUGCCAAUGGCUUCCUAGUAGAGUCCCCAUGCGUGUUGCAUAGCCUUAGCAAACACGUUGAUGUUGAUUUGCGGCAGUGAGCACGCCUUUCCAACAGCUGACAACUUAGUAGGCCUCGGUCGGUCUAGAAUCCACCUCAAACAUGAGACCUAUUAGUUCCUUUUGUGUCAAGUUCAAGGCUCCUUGUUUUUUGAGAGAUUCGCUACCUCCUGGAAGCAUUUUUGUCUGUCAGGGACUUUGAAGAUUCUUGGCUUAUCGAUCGUUGGUCACCCGCUUCACUGGAGUUGCCUGUCCAUGCCAUGCCUGCUCUUCCGUCAUCGACCAAUAGAUGAAUAAAACCCUAACCCUAGCACUACCUGUCGGUCCCCUAUAGUCUCCCUUAGCAUUUCCUUUCAUGGUGGGCCCGCCACCAACUAUUCCUCUCCGUCCUUCCAUUGGUACUUUUUCUGCGGUGGAGCCUUUAUGCUUCAUUUGGCUUUCUACAAUGGUGGUUGUAUCCAGCUCAUAAGUCUCCUCUAUAUGUAGGAAGCCAAGAUGUUAGCUCUUCUUUUUUUAAGGAAAAUACGUUAGCUAAUGUACAAGUUUCAUUUGAAAGAAGUCUUGUCGCAUGUAAAUACGUCACUGUCGGUUCAAUAUCCGGCGUAUCUCGUUGUAGGGGUCCUAAGCUAGGCGUCUUGGAGCGAUGGUAACAUCGACACGGGGUUUUACCCAGCUUCGGGCUCUCUUGAUGAGAUAAUACCCUAGAUGCUGCUUUUGAUUGUAUUCAUAUGGGGUGUAGUACAGAGUACAUGUGUCUACCACGAGACUGUGGUAAUGAAUAUGAGAUUGUCUAUUGACUAGCCUGGCCUCGGUUUAUAUAACACACCGGAGGCCUAGCGUUUUAGGAGAGUCCUCGCCUUGGGCGCCAAGUCUUGUGGAGUCUUCCUUAUAUGCGGCAGGGGUUGUCCGAACUGGCCCAUGAGUAUACGGUCGGCCCAAUCCAACUGAUCGGGAGACGACGUGGUGAGUACCCCCUAGUCCAGGACACCGUCAGUCACUAAGAGUGUGAUACAUAUAGGUGCAUACUUAGCGGAUGAUGCAAAUUUCAGCAGAUAUGAAUAGCUCCAGGUGGACCGAGCACACAAAGAAAUCAUGCACCAUAAACGAACAAUUUCCAAAGAAACAAAGUCGCAAAAAGAGAGACGACAUUAUCUUCAUUAUGGAAAACCCUUAUAUUUUUAAACAUUGCUUUUCUCUUUGAUUAUUAACAGGAAUCUUUUUACUAAUAUAAUAAGUGUUAAUCUUUAUAGAUAUGGAAUGUAUUUUGUUCAGUAGGUUUUAAUGAAUCAUAUCAGUUUUUGGUAUGUUACAAUUAGAAGAAGUUCAUGCGCCUUCAAGGCAUGUCACGGUGUGUUGUUCCACCUCAAACAGGGACAUACUACAUGGUUAUUCUCCCUGCAUAUAGCCCUCUUCGCAUGCUCUUCCUCUCUCUCUCUCUCUCUCUCUCUCUCUCCAUUGUAUAUUCCAGAACUGCUGACACUACUCCAUAAUGCCUAACUGGUGAAGGUCCAGAAACACCUAGCAGUGAUGGGUUCAACAUGCUCAGUAGUCUGUACUUAGUGGAGAAGUAACAAACCACUUAGAUGAACGUGUCCGCCGGUGAUGGUCAAAUCGAAAAAGAAAAUCGGGCCAUGGCCAGUCCAAAGCUAACACCUGCCAAUAAUGUGUAGUCUCCACUACUCGAACCUUCUUCUCCUCAAUAUAUUGCACCGUCUGAUGUUUGGAGAAGCCAUAGAGUUGGGGAUCCGAAUAGAGGAAACAAUGGUGGGGAGUGUCUUGAAGAAUAGGUAACGAGAAGCCGGACGGAGAAGGCCUCGACCAUGCUGCACCAUCAGCCCAUGAGCACUGACCUGUAUAUAUGGUGCAAGGACCGAGGCAGAAAUGAACACCAUCAUCGCCUGGGUGGCAGAGGGAGUUGGACCUGGGUGUUCCUCCUCUCGGACAAACUCAAUGAAUUCUUGGAGGCAGCACCCAUGCUAGAUUCUGCAGAGAUGACAACAUUUAGAGGAGGUGGAGGGCCAGCGCUAGGUUUGUUCCUCAUAGGGUUUAUUUUCGGGGAAGAAGGGGAAGGGUAUGACAUGAUGAGUGAUUAACAAGGGAAGUGUGUGUUUCUGUGGAGGACAAAUCAUGAAGACAAGUGUGCUAGUAGCUAGAGAAGGGACUAAUGAUAGCAGGAACGAAUAAUGAGCUUAAUGUGUGGGGCUACUAGUUUUAAGUUGUGAUCUAAAUGACAGGGUAAGUAUUUAGUCACUAUCGUGUUGUGACUUGGUCUUGUAAGUGGUGGGUUGUAUAUGAGUAACAAGUAGCAUGUUUAGCCUCAAUCUUGUUCUCUGUCACUGGUAACAAUGUAUCAUUGAUGGACCACAUAUUGGGCCCGUCACUACUAACUUUUUUCAACAAAAAUAGAUUUUUAGUUAUCGUCAAAUUCAUGGCAAACCCGCCGUCCAUUACUUCUAAGUAGCACUACUGAUGGGUUGUGUGACCCACCACUAUUGAUCAAUAACUAGAGGAUAACUCAAGCAUAGUGCACAUCCGUUUCUUUGAGAUUUUGUUAGUGUUUUCUUGUUCAUGGAGACAUAUCAAUUGACCCUAACAAGUGUUCUAUUUAGGUGGGGUUGUGAGUGAAAAUGCGGGGAGCUUGGCAGCAGGGAAAAUGGCACCUAGAGGGGCUCAUGUCUCCAUGAUGAACAACCACAACUUUGAUUUGAAUGAGCUACCGACUGAACAUGAGCAGCUCCGGCAGGAGCAGCCGCCCAAAGAGCAGGAUUAGCCGCCUGUGGCACAACAUGAGCUUUAAUAUUCACAAAUGGCUGGAGCCUGCUCAAAUCCGCAUCUAUGAGCAAAAUAACUCUUCGCCAGAAGCAUAGCCCUGUUGGAAAUAAUCAAAAAUAUCUCUAUCCCGAGGAUAAUGGGAAGGCUUGUAUGGAACUUUUGAAUUUCUCUCUUCCUACUUUUUGCGAUUGACUAUCAUUACUGCUAAACAUGAGGGGGGAUUUGGUAUACUGCCUCAUGAUCACCCUAUCCACUUGAAAUGGAUUUUCUAUUCAUUUCCCAUGAUGGUUUUGAUAUCUCGAUUGUUUCAACAAGAAUAUAUUCAUUCGGUAAAGCUUUGUGAAACAUUAGCGAUGGAGCUAGGUCUCGGGUCAUGUGAAAAGACAGUAGGUCAAGAAGUGUGUUAGCUCAUGAGAUAAUAUAUUUUUGAAGUUGUUCAUCAUGUGUGUUGACACAAUGGGUCGUACGAGAGAAGGUUGGCAUGAAUCUUUGGGUUUGAAAUGAGCUGUCUAAUUGGACCUUCAUGACUGAAAAAAGGGAGAAAACAUGGCUAAUAGGAGGCGCAAAUGAUAUGGAAGCUACUUUUUGGAUGGAAGUUAACUAUGGCUAUGCGACCACACAAGAUGUCAGUGGAAUCGCGUCCUUACAUAUCGAGGUUGACUUCAUGUGCAAGCUGUAUUGUGACUAAAUUAUGGUAUAUGUAUGUAAUAACUUGGCAUCUUACCAAACACAAAACACCCCAAAAAAUACUAUUUACUUCUCUUCGAUGCAUAUUCUAGUGGAAGGGUAGUCAUAACCAUAUGGGGAUAUUUUUCCACAGUAGAAUCUAUAAUGGUCUAGUGAGGAAAGGUGUAAAUGGAGAGGAUAAUAGGCGAACAUGGAAACAUCCAACAUUGUGUUGUACUUGUAUCUAGUUGUAUAGUGAGAUAAUAUGGAAACGGAGGAGGCUCAUAGGGCAACACGAGAACACCCAACAUGUUGCUCUACUUCCUUCCUAUUGGUACCAAGAGACUGAGACUAGAGAAAGGUUAAUCAUAACACAUGGACAAGAUCUCUCAUACAAGUUGAAAAUGGACCGAAUCUUGUAUGAAAAUGCUAACCAAGUAUGAGUGUGCAUAACAUACCAUUUCCUCCCUUUCUUUGUUGUAUUUUCCUUCACCAACCCCAUAGUACCCUAAUCGACACUAUUAAUUCGAUAUGCUUCUCAUCUGAGUUAGGUAGACUUAUUCAAGGGGAGGAAAUGGAGGUGUCUUAUCUAAAAUAGCCACAUUCCGGAUAGGAAUAAAAAAGUAGACAUAACCUAAUGAUUUGUUGAGAUUUGAAUCGAGAAUUCAACAUACAUCAACUAUCCUACAUGUAAAUCAAAUCCUCAUCCUACAUCGGCAUUGGGCUUUAGUUGGACUACCACUUUAUGGACAAGCCGUAUGGUCCAUGUGGUCUACGUCGCAAAGGCCGGAGAACAAGGAGCAAAUAGUUGUGGAUGUUUGGUAAUUGAAGUUAUUUGUCAAGAAAUUUGUUUCCCGUCAUGGUUUUUUUAAUUCAUUAUUUAGUAUUUGGUAUCGGUUCUAUGCUCUAAUGUGUAACCUUCUUCUGAUGGUUUGGGUUUAGCUGUCGGUGGUCAUGAGUUCAUUACUUAUGUUAACUACUAUUGUUGUGUCCACUUGUUCGCCAAGAGACUAUAAAGUUAACUUAUAUCCUCCCGUAUCUCUAUUAAUAUAGUUGGCGGUGAGGUAAUCAUUAACCCUGAAUAUUACUCACCUUUGUCAAAUAGUAGGCCAAGCUGGAACUGUCCGGUGCAUCAUCUAUGGUCACAUAUGGUGUAUUGCCUCUUCUAAACUCAAUGAGUAUUACAUAAUGGCAUGUGCCUGCAGGGAGGAAUGAGUCACUCUUUUGUGUCAAGGGGAGACGGCAUGCGUAAUAAUUGACAAUGAAAAAUUAACAACCUACAUCAAAAGUCUAACCCAAGACAAUGAAUAUGUGCCAUUGUAAUUUUACCACACUAAGUCAUCGGUAUUUCAUAAUCGAAUGUUUCCGAUGUUGUGACUUUUGGCGGUGAUAAGCCCAAAUAAUCGCCAUUGUGAAAUUAAAUUCUUCCGUUCACUUGAACCCACAUCCGUAAAGAUGUGCCAUUACAAUCCACGUCAUGGCUAUCUUGGAGUCCUUAAUAUAAUCAAGUGUGCCAAAUAUGGUGACUUGAUAAUCACGUAUACUAAUGGGGAGGAGCGAGGUCACAUUUUUUGCCAUGGAGACAUGAUAUUCCGUACUAAUUGACCCUAGGAAGCUAAUCGCCUCCAUCAAGUAGACCCCUUCCUGGUUCUCCUAAAACUGGAUUCCCCGAAACCACGAAAAUCCUUAGAAUUGGAUUACAACUUAGCACCUUGUGUUUUCACAUAGUAAGAAGAGUUGCUCCUUGGAGAGCACGGUAUGAUGAAAGUUGUAACCUGUGUUUCCGAGGGAGUUAUUGUCUCGCAACUUUGUUAUCAACUAUUCCGAUUCCAGCAAACGGAGGCCAUUGGGUCAAAGACAUAGCGCACGCCUUGUAGUUUUGAAGUGGGGCGAGACAACUUUAGCUAGGAACCUAUUUUCCUUCUGACCAACUCCCUAAAAACAAUGUUCGACUUCAUGUGUAGUCGGUGUAGAUGUGUCAUUGCAAUUCCACCACUAGGAUAUCACCAUGUCCUAUGUAUUACAUGCCAACAUAUGCCACCAUCUGGUGACUUGAUAAAUUAAAUGCAUUUCACCAAGCUUUUCUGUUCCAAUUAUGGUGAAGAUAGUGACUCACAUGUCAGCCUCCCUAACGGGAAGCAAAAUCACUCUGACUUUGGCAACCUAAUUUUUUUAUGGAUUCAAGCAAGCAUGUUGGAUUUGUGUAUUGUUUAUUUCCACAUAUAUGAUUCAAAAUAAAGGAAUCAAUUCAGAAUAGGAGUCUUGGAGACACCCAUGUCAAUAAUGUGAAAUUAUGGGAAUUCUUAUUAUGUGCAUCAAAAUAGGCCAAAACUCGUGGCUUAAGAGAUACGUGUACAAUCAUACAAUGGUUAUGACCCCUACUAAAUUCAUGAUGUUAACCAGUUCCCAGAAGUUUAAGUUGAGAAACAAGUUUGGGCAACAUAUUUCCAGACACCUGUCAUGUCUAGGAUUGUGUGAAGCCUAGGUAAGAUUAGUUAUGGGAUCAAUGCAGGCUAUUAGUACAUUGACUCGGUUCUUAACUCAAGUCCUCCUUGCUUGAUACCAUAUUGAAUGGCAAGUACAUCAUCAAUUUACUUAAGUGGGUGAACAAUGUUGGCUAGUAUAUUCCAACACUCACCUCACAUGCAUUUUUUAGGGGCAUAUAAUGCAUCGUGAUGGAUACAUUCUUUCUAAAGACUAAAUUCCAAUGGAAAAUUCAAAUUAAUUUAGUAGAAAUCUCGUAUGGCAAGGGUAUAUGGUAAAUGAAAAGGAGGGCUCAAAUGCUACUUGUUGGCACACACAAGUCAAGUUGUCUUUUAGCUCCCAUGUUGAUCCUCCAUGGUUCGACAUUGGGCAUUACACAGAGAGCGAGUUAUCUUUACGCACUAACUAGAGCUACCAGACCAUGGAUGUUCCACCGUGAAUGUCCAUAUGGUGCAAUGAGUGAUAGCGGGGUAUAUUAGAACAUACAGUAUACACCGUUAAAGUAAUUAAAUGUGCUAUUUUGCCUACUAUGACAAAAUAGUAUUUUUAAGAGAAAACUACGCAAGAGUUUGUGAUCUUUGUAUGUAAAAGCAUUAUUUGCCUUUGCUUGGUGUUCACGCAGUUUGAUUUAUGGCAAAAAUGGAAAAUCAUGGGACAAUAAUUGUUGAUAUUCUUUGUGGGAAAGCUAGAAGUUUUCACUUUUCAGAUCACGCAAAGUAUUGUUUUCUUAUAGGGGUGAUAUACAGGGUUCUAAAUCUGCAUUUGUGAUUUGUUGUCCAUUUAAAUUUUGUUUCUUCCAUAGAUUAUGUUGGUUUGUUGCUGUAUUUAUCUCAGCACUGAAGUAUACUGAUGUUAGCUAAGUCCAAUCAAAGGCCGAUGUUUCUAUCAUGUUAUACAAAUUAGUAAGCUAAGUACUGACCAAACUCAAGUUACAGAAGCCCAGACUACGUGAAAUGCACAUCAUGCAGUACACAUGUUCAUCUUAGUGUUAUGUUAUACUUGGCUCCCAGAUAACAAAUGGUAUCAGUUACUACUAUCUUUUGCAGCUUGUUUCUGCCUGUUCAUCGUAGAAUUAUCUUAUGUAGUCUCCCAAGGUUCAUGCAACUUGGAUUUUCAUACUUUGGUAGCAUUAGUGUUCACUAGGACUAGAUGCCACUCUGUAGAAGCUGGGGAUACAGAUGGAGAAAGUAGUCAUGGUUUUUUUUUCAAAAAGUUUGUUCAUAUCUAUAACAGGUUUAUUAAUUUUUAGCGUACAGUGUUGUGAAACCUAGAGUGUUUUAUCUCAUUAAACAUUGAACUACGCUUGCAAGGGAAAAACCUCAUUUGACAUCGAACUAUGCAUGCAGGGCAAACACUCCGUGCAUCGGUGCCACCGCGCCGCGAACCUUGGGAGCUUGAACCUGGAUGGGUGUGAACUUAUGUUGUCAAGGUUUGGGGUCAGUCUUGGAUAGAGAAUAAAGGGGACUUUGCGAAACUGUUAUUAAUAAUAUGUAUGAAACAUUGCCUUGGGGAGAGAAUAAGAGAUUUCGAGAGAUAUUUAUAAAUGGAUGCAUGCUUGCAAUAGCAGUACAAAAUAUGAUGCUAACAUUUUAUUUUCAUUGUUCUUCCCAUUAAACUUCUCGUGGUGGCUCCAUUAUUCACAGCCUCGCACAUGAAAAUGUUAUUUCGUUCGGGUAAAUGUUGCGUGUCGCUGCUCCUGUAGUUUUGCGGUUUGCAUCUGCUUGAAACUUGUGAGUUGGAUUUUGCGAAGUUGCAAUGCAAAUUUGGGAUGCAGGGAAG